rnacentral:rRNA from 1 species
CCUACGGGAGGCAGCAGUGAGGAAUAUUGGUCAAUGGCCGGAAGGCUGAACCAGCCAAGCCGCGUGAAGGACGAAGGUGCCAAGCAUUGUAAACUUCUUUUGUCAAGGGACAAAAUCAGGCUCGAGAGCCUGACCGCGGGUACUUGAAGAAAAAGCAUCGGCUAACUCCGUGCCAGCAGCCGCGGUAAUAAGGAGGAUGCGGGCGUUAUCCGGAUUUAUUGGGUUUAAAGGGUGCGUAGGCGGGCGGUUACGUCCGCGGUAAAAGCCCGGGGCUCAACCCCGGCGAGCCGUUGAAACUGGGUGUCUUGAGAUGUCGAGAGGUAUGCGGAAUGCGCAGUGUAGCGGUGAAAUGCUUAGAUAUUGCGCAGAACUCCGAUUGCGAAGGCAGCAUACCGGCGGCGAUCUGACGCUGAGGCACGAAAGCGUGGGUAUCGAACAGGAUUAGAUACCCCUGUAGUC